ACGUUAGCGGCGGACGGGUGAGUAACACGUGGGUAACCUACCUAUAAGACUGGGAUAACUUCGGGAAACCGGAGCUAAUACCGGAUAAUAUUUCGAACCGCAUGGUUCGAUAGUGAAAGAUGGUUUUGCUAUCACUUAUAGAUGGACCCGCGCCGUAUUAGCUAGUUGGUAAGGUAACGGCUUACCAAGGCGACGAUACGUAGCCGACCUGAGAGGGUGAUCGGCCACACUGUAACUGAGACACGGUCCAGACUCCUACGGGAGGCAGCAGCU
rnacentral:rRNA from 1 species